AUGCAAGUCGAGCGGUAGAGAGAAGCUUGCUUCUCUUGAGAGCGGCGGACGGGUGAGUAAUGCCUAGGAAUCUGCCUGGUAGUGGGGGAUAACGUUCGGAAGCGGACGCUAAUACCGCAUACGUCCUACGGGAGAAAGCAGGGGACCUUCGGGCCUUGCGCUAUCAGAUGAGCCUAGGUCGGAUUAGCUAGUUGGUGAGGUAAUGGCUCACCAAGGCGACGAUCCGUAACUGGUCUGAGAGGAUGAUCAGUCACACUGGAACUGAGACACGGUCCAGACUCCUACGGGAGGCAGCAGUGGGGAAUAUUGGACAAUGGGCGAAAGCCUGAUCCAGCCAUGCCGCGUGUGUGAAGAAGGUCUUCGGAUUGUAAAGCACUUUAAGUUGGGAGGAAGGGCAGUUACCUAAUACGUGAUUGUUUUGACGUUACCGACAGAAUAAGCACCGGCUAACUCUGUGCCAGCAGCCGCGGUAAUACAGAGGGUGCAAGCGUUAAUCGGAAUUACUGGGCGUAAAGCGCGCGUAGGUGGUUAGUUAAGUUGGAUGUGAAAUCCCCGGGCUCAACCUGGGAACUGCAUUCAAAACUGACUGACUAGAGUAUGGUAGAGGGUGGUGGAAUUUCCUGUGUAGCGGUGAAAUGCGUAGAUAUAGGAAGGAACACCAGUGGCGAAGGCGACCACCUGGACUGAUACUGACGCUGAGGUGCGAAAGCGUGGGGAGCAAACAGGAUUAGAUACCCUGGUAGUCCACGCCGUAAACGAUGUCAACUAGCCGUUGGGAGCCUUGAGCUCUUAGUGGCGCAGCUAACGCAUUAAGUUGACCGCCUGGGGAGUACGGCCGCAAGGUUAAAACUCAAAUGAAUUGACGGGGGCCCGCACAAGCGGUGGAGCAUGUGGUUUAGUUCGAAGCAACGCGAAGAACCUUACCAGGCCUUGACAUCCAAUGAACUUUCUAGAGAUAGAUUGGUGCCUUCGGGA
rnacentral:rRNA from 1 species